rnacentral:rRNA from 1 species
UUCGAGUGGCGGACGGGUGAGUAACGCGUGGGUAACCUGCCUUACACAGGGGGAUAACACCUGGAAACAGGUGCUAAUACCGCAUACGCGCACAGGGCCGCAUGGCCCGGUGUGAAAAACUCCGGUGGUGUAAGAUGGACCCGCGUCUGAUUAGCUUGUUGGCGGGGUAGGGGCCCACCAAGGCGACGAUCAGUAGCCGGCCUGAGAGGGUGGACGGCCACAUUGGGACUGAGACACGGCCCAAACUCCUACGGGAGGCAGCAG